rnacentral:siRNA from 1 species
GCUUUCAUAGCUCAGUUGG